CACUUCCUCCUCAGCACCUUUUGUGGGAGCUUCCACUACUGCACCCAUUUUUUAAAACGGGAAAGAUCCCAUCCCCGACUUUCAUGGGAGCUGGGCUGCCAGUAUUUCAAUCGGUCUUCGACAACUUCUUUCUGAACCUCUGAGCUCAGAUAUUUGCUGAGUGAAUGAGUGAGCGAAUGAGUCAGCAAAUGAAUGAGGCCCUCACCAGCGCCAGGACGGCCCUAGGACCCGAGUCUUCUCACUGCGGAUGAGGAAGCUGCGGUCUUUGGGAGGACGGACAUGUGAACUGCAGGAUUUCACAAGUUGCUGCAAACUGAAGCCCAGCAGGGAGAGCAGGGCUGGGAGAUGGACCUGGAAGUCUCCGAACACUGGGCCGAGCGUAUCCUGGAAUUAAAGCCGUCAGUUUCGUGACAGUUCUUCAGCAAUGCCAGUACCCCAAGCAGCCCUGGGGCGUAUCUAUCAUUUAAGAUUAAAAAGAGACUGGCUCCAAUGCAGUGGUGAGGAAGCAGGCCCAGAAGAGGUGGGGACUGGCUCCUCACAGCGGGUCGUAAAGGAGCCGCAUAAAGCCCCCGUGUGGCUGCACGUCCCUGAGCGCCACGGGCCCUGCAGUGCAGACCCCAGGCUGGUGGCCUGGGGCUCCAGGGUCGGGCCUGUGCUGAAAGCGCACUGGACCUGUGUUACCCAGAAAUGUCACUUUCUCUUGGACACCUUUACAGAAGCCACUGUUCUGGGGGCUUAUAGACUUUGGGCGAGACAAAUAAAAUGCAUGUGGCUAU